GACGAACGCUGGCGGCGUGCUUAACACAUGCAAGUCGUACGGUAAGGCCCUUUCGGGGGUACACGAGUGGCGAACGGGUGAGUAACACGUGAGUAACCUGCCCACAACUUUGGGAUAACGCUAGUAAACUGGUGCUAAUACUGGAUAUGUGCUCCUGCUGCAUGGUGGGGGUUGGAAAGCUCCGGCGGGUGUGGAUGGACUCGCGGCCUAUCAGCUUGUUGGUGGGGUAGUGGCCUACCAAGGCGGCGACGGGUAGCCGGCCUGAGAGGGUGACCGGACACAUUGGGAGUGAGAUACGGCCCAGACUCCUACGGGAGGAAGAAGUGGGGAAUAUUGCACAAUGGGCGCAAGCCUGAUGCAGCAACGACGCGUGCGGGAUGACGGCCUUCGGGUUGUAAACCGCUUUCAGCAGGGACGAAGCUUUUUGUGACGGUACCUGAAGAAGAAGCACCGGCUAACUACGUG
rnacentral:rRNA from 1 species